rnacentral:rRNA from 1 species
UUCCAGACUCCUACGGGAGGCAGCAGUGAGGAAUAUUGGUCAAUGGCCGCAGGGCUGAACCAGCCAUGCCGCGUGCAGGAUGACGGCUCUAUGAGUUGUAAACUGCUUUUGUACGAGGGUAAACCCCGAUACGUGUAUCGGGUUGAAAGUAUCGUACGAAUAAGGAUCGGCUAACUCCGUGCCAGCAGCCGCGGUAAUACGGAGGAUGCGAGCGUUAUCCGGAUUUAUUGGGUUUAAAGGGUGCGCAGGCGGAAUGUCAAGUCAGCGGUAAAAUUUCGGGGCUCAACCCCGUCGUGCCGUUGAAACUGGCGUUCUUGAGUGAGCGAGAAGUAUGCGGAAUGCGUGGUGUAGCGGUGAAAUGCAUAGAUAUCACGCAGAACUCCGAUUGCGAAGGCAGCAUACCGGCGCUCAACUGACGCUCAUGCACGAAAGCGUGGGUAUCGAACAGGAUUAGAUACCCGAGUAC